GUCUGCAGAUAGCUGCGCCGGCUUUUACUUUGAGAAAAAUAAAGUUCUUCAAGCAGGCGUACGUCAUGGAUAUGUGAGCAUGGAAUAAUCAUAUAUGCCUCGGCUCAGAUUUUGUUGGUUUCCAUUGCUGAGGUAAAGGGUUGUAGGGCCAGAUGGGGGCACUCGCAUUUAACUGUCAGAGGUGAAAUUCUUGGAUUUGUUAAAGACGGCCCAGUGCGAAAGCAUUUGCCAAGAAUGUUCUCGUUGAUCAAGAACGAAAGUUAGGGGAUCGAAGACGAUCAGAUACCAUCCUGGUCUUAACCAUAAACGAUGCCUACUAGAGAUCGGAGGUUGUUCAAUUUGCGACGCCUUCAGCAUCCUAUGAGAAAUCGAAGUCUUUGGGUUCUGGGGGGAGUAUGGUCGCAAGGCUGAAACUUAAAGGAAUUGACGGAAGGGCACCACCAGGAGUGGAGCCUGCGGCUUAAUUUGACUCAACGCGGGGAAACUUACUAGGUCCAGACACAGUAAGGAUUGACAGACUGAUAGAUCUUUCGUGAUCUUGUGGGUGGUGGUGCAUGGCCGUUCUUAGUUGGUGGAGUGAUUUGUCUGGUUAAUUCCGUUCACGAACGAGACCUCAACUCACUAAUUAGCCACGCCAAUCUUAGGAUAGGUGGGGUGCUUCUUAGAGGGACUUUGUGCUUCUAGUACAAGGAAGAUUGAGGCAAUAACAGGUCUGUGAUGCCCUUAGAUGUUCUGGGCUGCACGCGCGCGACACUGAUUCAUCCAUCGAGUUUGCGCCUUGCCCUAUAUGGUCGGGCACUCUUCUGAAACUGCAUCGUGUUGGGGAUAGAUUAUUGCAAUUAUUAAUCUUGAACGAGGAAUUCCUAGUAGGCGCGAGUCAUCAACUCGUGCUGAUUAUGUCCCUGCCCUUUGUACACACCGCCCGUCGCUCCUACCGAUUGAGUGCUCCUGUGAACAAUUUGGAAUGCGGCAGUCUCCAGUAUUGGCACCUGCUGUAGGAAGAUUUGUGAAUGCAAC
rnacentral:rRNA from 1 species